UCUUGCGCCAAUAAUGUAACGGGACUCAAACACAAUACCGAAGCUACGGGCACAUUAUGUGCGUUAGGAGAGCGUUUUAAUUUCGUUGAAGUCAGACCGUGAGGACUGGUGGAGAGAUUAAAAGUGAGAAUGCCGGCAUGAGUAACGAUUCGAAGUGAGAAUCUUCGACGCCUAUUGGGAAAGGUUUCCUGGGCAAGGUUCGUCCACCCAGGGUUAGUCAGGGCCUAAGAUGAGGCAGAAAUGCAUAGUCGAUGGACAACAGGUUAAUAUUCCUGUACUUGGUAAAAGAAUGAUGGAGUGACGAAAAAGGAUAGUUCUACCACUUACUUGAUUGUGGGGUAAGCAACCAGAGAGUUAUAUAGGCACUUCCGUAUAGCAUAAUAUUGAGUUGUGAUGCAUAGUGAAUACUUCGGUCGAGUAACGAAUUGAAUGAUUUCAUGUUUCCAAGAAAAGCUUCUAGUGUUAAUUUUUUAUCAACCUGUACCGAGAACGAACACACGUUCCCAAGAUGAGUAUUCUAAGGCGAGCGAGAAAACCAAUGUUAAGGAACUCUGCAAAAUAACCCCGUAAGUUCGCGAGAAGGGGCGCCUAUUUUUAAUAGGCCACAGAAAAUAGGGGGGGCAACUGUUUAUCAAAAACACAGCUCUCUGCUAAGUUGUA
rnacentral:rRNA from 1 species